UUGAACGCUGGCGGCAGGCCUAACACAUGCAAGUCGAGCGGAUGAAGAGAGCUUGCUCUCUGAUUCAGCGGCGGACGGGUGAGUAAUGCCUAGGAAUCUGCCUGGUAGUGGGGGACAACGUUUCGAAAGGAACGCUAAUACCGCAUACGUCCUACGGGAGAAAGCAGGGGACCUUCGGGCCUUGCGCUAUCAGAUGAGCCUAGGUCGGAUUAGCUAGUUGGUGAGGUAAUGGCUCACCAAGGCGACGAUCCGUAACUGGUCUGAGAGGAUGAUCAGUCACACUGGAACUGAGACACGGUCCAGACUCCUACGGGAGGCAGCAGUGGGGAAUAUUGGACAAUGGGCGAAAGCCUGAUCCAGCCAUGCCGCGUGUGUGAAGAAGGUCUUCGGAUUGUAAAGCACUUUAAGUUGGGAGGAAGGGCAGUAACUUAAUACGUUGCUGUUUUGACGUUACCGACAGAAUAAGCACCGGCUAACUCUGU
rnacentral:rRNA from 1 species